CCCCUAGUAACUGCGAGUGAAGCGGGAAAAGCUCAAAUUUAAAAUCUGGCAGUCUUUGGCUGUYCGAGUUGUAAUCUAGAGAAGUGUUAUCCGCGCUGGACCGUGUACAAGUCUCCUGGAAUGGAGCGUCAUAGAGGGUGAGAAUCCCGUCUUUGACACGGACUACCAGGGCUUUGUGAUGCGCUCUCAAAGAGUCGAGUUGUUUGGGAAUGCAGCUCAAAAUGGGUGGUAAAUUCCAUCUAAAGCUAAAUAUUGGCGAGAGACCGAUAGCGAACAAGUACCGUGAGGGAAAGAUGAAAAGAACUUUGGAAAGAGAGUUAAACAGUACGUGAAAUUGCUGAAAGGGAAACGCUUGAAGUCAGUCGCGUUGUCCAGGGAUCAACCUUGCUUUUGCUUGGUGCACUUUCUGGUUGACGGGUCAGCAUCAAUUUUGAUCAUUGGAAAAAGGUCAAGGGAAUGUGGCAUCCUUGGAUGUGUUAUAGCCCUUGGUUGCAUACAAUGGUUGGGAUUGAGGAACUCAGCACGCCGCAAGGCCGGGUUUUUAACCACGUACGUGCUUAGGAUGUUGGCAUAAUGGCUUUAAUCGACCCGUCUUGAAACACGGACCAAGGAGUCUAACAUGCCUGCGAGUGUUUGGGUGGAAAACCCGAGCGCGCAAUGAAAGUGAAAGUUGAGAUCCCUGUCGUGGGGAGCAUCGACGCCCAGACCAGACCUUUUGUGACGGAUCUGCGGUAGAGCAUGUAUGUUGGGACCCGAAAGAUGGUGAACUAUGCCUGAAUAGGGUGAAGCCAGAGGAAACUCUGGUGGAGGCUCGUAGCGAUUCUGACGUGCA
rnacentral:rRNA from 1 species